rnacentral:lncRNA from 1 species
GUCUUUAUAGUAAAGGGAUUCAGUCCAAGAUUAUACACUGUAUUUUGUUGUCAUGUCUGUUGAGUCUCCUUCAAUUUGUAGAAUUCCUCAUUCUUGGUUUGGCUUUCAUGACCUUGUCACUUUUGAAGAUGAUAAGUCGGUUGUUUUAUAGAAUCUCCCUCAGUUUGGGUUUAUCUGAUAUUUCCCCAUGAUUAGAUUCACGGGCAUGCAUGUGACAGAAAUAUUGCCGUGUUCUUGUCGUUGACUCCAGUCAGGGGCUAUAGUUACAAUUUGUCCCAAUUUUGAACGUAAGAAUGUUGAUCACCUGAUUAAAGUGGUGUCUGUGGGUCUUCUUCACGCUUUUUGUGCUCCAACACCCUGCGUGGGCUUCAGCUCUCACUCACAACACUCCUGCGCAAAUUCCUCCCCUACCCAUCUGAAUUUUGCAUCCCUGUGCCAGGCUACCGUGGCCACUCAUUCCCCCUCCAUGCUUGUGCACUACUCACCUCCAAAUGAGUAUCCCUUGCACCCACGCAGGCUCUGACCCUCCUAAGCUUAUUCAAUCCCAUCUAAUGGCUGUUGGACAGAAUUAUAAACCAAAGAACUUGGCGUCCAAACAGAAGUGUCAUCACUUGAUAAUGGAUAUACUUGAAUCAGCCAAGCUACCCAUUCAGCAGCAGGAUAUUUGACAGCCUUUCUGAUUAAGGAAAAGAAGGUACUUUACAAAAAAGUUCUCUCAUGUUCAUGAAUUUUCAAGGUGGGACUUUUAUUUUCCAUCUGGCAUCUGUUUGUUUCUAAUUUUCUCACUUUAGGUGAACAAACUGUAGGGGAUUUAGAGAUAUCAUUCUGAGGCAUAAGGGCAAUCACCUGUACCACUUUUUAAAGAACUGUAGGUUAAUCGGCUCACUUCUC